AUGUCCGUCUGUCUGUCUGAUGAUAAAACUCAAUGGCUCGUCCUCGUCGGAGCGAGGGAAGCCAUUGUCGUCCCACUAAUUGUUCCGCCGAUCGGCUCGGUCGGUGGGAUCCUUGGUUCUCUGAUCUGUAUCCAUCCAUGUGUUUGCCUGGGGUUAAGACAAGAGAGAGAGUGCCUUCGCUCCAGCAUGUACCAUUUGACAUUGGUUGAUGGAGAGGAGCAUAUUAUUUCACCUUCAUCCUCUGUUGCUGCCGCUGCUUAUUAUCUAUCCUUGAGGGAAGAUCUAUCUAACGUUAUGUGUACAGUGAUCGAUCAACGGGGAGAGUGUCCGUCUUUUGUUGCUGUUGAUGUGGUAGUUUCUUUCUUGUGUCGGCUACGGGUUGGAUUGGAUUGGAUUGGAUGGUGCUCUCUCAGCUCACUCUCGUCCAAUCCGUGCAUGUGA
rnacentral:rRNA from 1 species